rnacentral:lncRNA from 1 species
AGUCUAUCCAAGGCUCCUUCAUGUAACCACGCGGCAGUUGGCAGGCACUAGUCCUAGACAACUGAGUUCUCCCUGAAGAAGAGUUAAAGCAAAAUAAAAACUCACAAAAAGGAAAACAACACGAAUAAAAAGAACUAGCAUGGGACCUAAAGGACGUUGCUGAACAAGGAAAAGAGCCCAUCAGAGAUCGAGAAUGCUUGUUAUUAGUAACUUAAA